GACGGGGGAUGCAAGCGUUAUCCGGAAUUACUGGGCGUAAAGCGUCUGUAGGUGGUGAUGCAAGUCACUGGAGCAAAACUCUGGCUCAACCGAAGGAAAGCCAGUGAGACUGCAUGACUAGAGUGUGGGAGAGGUAGAAGGAAUUCCCUGAGUAGCGGUGAAAUGCGUAUAUACAGGGAAGAACACCCGAGGCGAAAGCGUUCUACUGGAACACAACUGACACUGAGAGUCGAAAGCUAGGGGAGCGAAUGGG
rnacentral:rRNA from 1 species